GGACAUGGGUUGGUUCGCAAGA
rnacentral:miRNA from 1 species